AAUCAACGCUGGCGGCGUGCCUAACACAUGCAAGUCGAACGCGAAAGUGGAGCAAUCCAUGAGUAGAGUGGCAAACGGGUGAGUAACACGUGGGUGACCUGCCUUCGAGUGGGGGAUAACGUCCCGAAAGGGACGCUAAUACCGCAUGACAUCCUGCCUUUGGAAAGGCGGAGAUCAAAGCUGGGGAUCGCAAGACCUGGCGCUUGAAGAGGGGCCCGCGCCNGAUUAGCUAGUUGGUGAGGUAACGGCUCACCAAGGCCACGAUCAGUAUCCGGCCUGAGAGGGUGAUCGGCCACACUGGAACUGAGACACGGUCCAGACUCCUACGGGAGGCAGCAGUGGGGAAUUUUGCGCAAUGGGCUAACGCCUGACGCAGCAACGCCGCGUGGAGGAUGAAGGUCUUUGGAUUGUAAACUCCUGUCAGCAGGGAAAAAGCAACUCGGCCUAACACGCCGGGGAGUUGAUUGUACCUGCAGAGGAAG
rnacentral:rRNA from 1 species